AUUUAAUUCAUCAUAAAUUCAUGAUAUAAAUAUAUGAGAUUUACGUAUUUAAUAGAUAAGUCCCACUAUACAUAUUAUAUUUUAAAUUUAUAAUAGAGUAAGUCUAGAUAAGAAAAAUCUUAUUUUUACACUUUAUCUCACUCAAGCACGCAUCUUGGGUCUUGCGUCUAGGGUCUUACGUCUAAGUUCCAGGACCCUCUAGUGCUUUAGUGCACCUUUAAUAACUAUGCCUCAUCUAAAGAGGACCAUCAUUAGCUGAUCAAAUCUAACAUCUCACCACAUGCUUAAAUAGGUAAGGAGACAAAACACCUUGUCAUGUGUUCCUGAUGUGGGACAAGAAAAAGAAUAUCUUAAGAAAUACCAGCUUCAAUUCAACUUUUCAAGAGAUCUCAUCAUAUACCAUUCUUUUUAGGGUACUUUGCUUCACUCUGUACCUAGAUUAGCUAAUGAGUAAUUACAAGUUAGAAAAUGCUCAAGUAUGAAAGAAUAAUCUAAAUAUAUGUGAAAUAUUGUUGGUUUUCUAUAGCAUUUACUUGCGAACUCUUAUGAGUGUAGGGCAGCAGGCACGUGUGAACUAAUGCCUAGGAAGCUUAGAGUAUAUACCAGAAGGAGAUUCAAGGAAGCUGUAACAGAUGGGCCAGUGGAGUAUUCUGGAAAGAGGAAUGCUGCUGAGCUGGAUAACAGAAUGGG
rnacentral:misc_RNA from 1 species